GUAGGAACAGAGGAUUAACUUUUAAAAUAUAUAAUUUAUUUCAAAUGCAUGUGCAGCAUUUUGUUUUAUUAGUACAUGUUUGUUUGGUUUUUUUAGGGGGUGGAACUGGGGAUUGAACUUGGGACCUUGUUCUUGUGAGGCAGGCGAUGGAACCACUGAGCUAAAUCCCCCGCCCUAUUAGUACUUGUUUAUAGUACAUAAAGUUUACAGUCAUCUUGGAGUGUCCAACUCUUUUGAAUCACCUUUCAUGUCACAGUUCUCAGUGUCUGCAUUUCCUCACACAACACAGCCCUGAGUAUCAUCAAGAGAACUGGUGAUAGGGAUGGGGAUAAGGUCCUGAGUUCGAUCCCCGGUACCAAAAAAAAAAAAAGAGUACUGGUGAUAGAGUGCUACUUCAAAGAGCGCAUCAUGGCUAUCUUCUGUUUACUGUCAGUGGGAAACAUUGGACCAAAGAAUGACGUCUUAAUGAUAGUCCUGCUCAACCCAUGAAUCGGUCACAUCAGCCUCCUGUUGCUCUGAAUUUUCUGUCAUCGAUUUCAAGAGUUUCCAGUUUAUCCUGCCUUUAACUGCAUUGCGUGGUGUUUGACAGGCAACCCUUUUGCACCUGCCUCUCUGACAAAGUGAGGACCAUGUCUGGAGCCAGUGGCCUUCACCAACAGGUGCCCUCCUUGGCCCCCUGACUGAGACCCCUGCCCAACUGAGAGAGAAAAAGCCCCAAAAGACGCAUUGCCUGCAAGAAAAGAGAUAAUAGGAAGCCAGCUACUGCCUUGCUCAUUCACACCUGCAAGGAGACUGACUCUCUGAAAAACCACAAGGCACCCGCCUUACCUUGCUGUACCUGCCAUCGCCCUGCUACCCUCACCCCGUCCUGUUCAUCAGUCUUAAGCCUGUCACCCAAGAGACUCCAAAAUCUUCCUCCUUCUGAGCUGACACUCCCUCCCCUACUUAAACUUCCCUAUUUAAACUGUGCUCACUGUCCUUCCUAUGCCAACAGCAUUUUUGCCCUUGGCCUAUCUGCGCCCAGAUGGUAAAAAACUCAUUGCAUGUUGCUUAGAUUUUGCCUGCCUUGGUGAUCUCACUCGUGCUCCAGUUGAACCUUACACUUUCUAUGUCUGUUUAUACUAAACAAUAAAAGUGAGAUUCACUGACCUAAAUCAAUUAUUUUUUUAAAUCUCCUUACCCUCCCUUCCCUCCAUUCACCCCUCCCUUCAUCUUUUGG
ensembl:lncRNA